UAUGAAUAUAGUAUCUCUGAAUAGUGGGAAUGUUAUAAACACUCGUAUGAUCCAUGGGUCCUUUACAAAUACCUUUUAGAUUCUUUACUAAUACCCCUAAUGGUAUAAUUGAAAAUUUUAAUCAAAUUAUAAAUCAUAUAAUUCCUCUUUUAAUCUUCCACCAUCGUCCAUUCUUCAUUAAUUCACAAAUCUCACAAAAAUGCUUCAUCUCUCCUUCAACCACCACCACCAUCACCAUCUCAAUCACAACCACCAUAACUAUCACCACCACCUCCAUCACUGCAGCUAUUAGCAGAUCUGUUACGUUUUGUACUUUUGAUUUAGAUUUGUUAUCAAUUGUUCUUCAUCUUCUUAGGUUAAAAUAAAUAUUGAAAUCAUAUUCAGAGAACAGUUUUAUACGAUUCUCUCUUUCUUUGCCAUUACUCCUGAAUCAAAUCUCAAAAUCAUCAGGAGCAGCAGUUCUUCUGCUUUUUCUUCGUUGAAGAUUCAGGAGAAAUCGUCAUCAUGUAAAAGAUAAGGAAAAAUUGGAAAUUUGGUCGUUGAUGUUGUUGGUGGAUGCCGGUGGUGGUUUGGUGGUUCACAGUAAUAUGGGAUGUUUGGUUUUUGAUGAGCUUAAGAAUUUGCCAGUAUUCAUUUUGGUCUUUUUUGUCAAUUGAAUGAAAAAUGUUAUUUUGAUUGUUUAGGAACCUAGCUUAAUUGGGGGCCAUCGGAAUUAAUCGGCGGCCAUACACCAGAGGAUAAAAAAGGUCACCAGAACCUAAUUUGGGCCACCCCUUAUAAAAAUAUUUUUUAAAUGACUAAAAUGCUCCUAAAUGAUUAGUGUUAAAAUUUAAUUAAUUAGUGAUAAU